UUAUUGAGAGUUUGAUCCUGGCUCAGGACGAACGCUGGCGGCGUGCCUAAUACAUGCAAGUCGAACGCAUUUUGUUCCACCGGAGCUUGCUCCAUCGAAACAAAAUGAGUGGCGGACGGGUGAGUAACACGUGGGUAACUUGCCCAUCAGAGGGGGAUAACACUUGGAAACAGGUGCUAAUACCGCAUAAUUUUUUUGACCGCAUGGUCGAAUGAUGAAAGGCGCUUUCGGGUGUCACUGAUGGAUAGACCCGCGCUGCAUUAGCUAGUUGGUGAGGUAACGGCUCACCAAGGCCAUGAUGCAUAGCCGACCUGAGAGGGUGAUCGGCCACACUGGGACUGAGA
rnacentral:rRNA from 1 species